rnacentral:miRNA from 1 species
AGAACCCGAAUGAACUUUUUGA